GACCCGAUGGUGCAGCGGUUCGCACGCUCGCUUCAAGUUUCCUUCCGAAACCCAGAAAAUUUAAGCAAGAAACCCCCGUUCGACUCGGGGUCGGGUCA